rnacentral:rRNA from 1 species
GUGGGGAAUUUUGGACAAUGGACGCAAGUCUGAUCCAGCAAUGCCGCGUGCAGGACGAAGGCCUUCGGGUUGUAAACUGCUUUUGUACAGAACGAAAGGGCUCUGGUUAAUACCUGGGGCAGAUGACGGUACUGUAAGAAUAAGCACCGGCUAACUACGUGCCAGCAGCCGCGGUAAUACGUAGGGUGCGAGCGUUAAUCGGAAUUACUGGGCGUAAAGCGUGCGCAGGCGGUUUUGUAAGACCGAUGUGAAAUCCCCGGGCUCAACCUGGGAACUGCAUUGGUGACUGCAAGGCUGGAGUGCGGCAGAGGGGGAUGGAAUUCCGCGUGUAGCAGUGAAAUGCGUAGAUAUGCGGAGGAACACCGAUGGCGAAGGCAAUCCCCUGGGCCUGCACUGACGCUCAUGCACGAAAGCGUGGGGAGCAAACAGGAUUAGAAACCCGAGUAGUCC